GCUGAUGUUUGUGAUGACCAACACUUUUUUCCCCAUCAGAGCGACACUGUUGAUUUGUUGCUGCUUUAGCCAGAUCUUUGUCUGACGACAUCAGC
rnacentral:snoRNA from 1 species